rnacentral:rRNA from 1 species
AAAUUGAAGAGUUUGAUCAUGGCUCAGAUUGAACGCUGGCGGCAGGCUUAACACAUGCAAGUCGAGCGGAAACGAGUUAUCUGAACCUUCGGGG